GACGAACCGUGCGAACGUUAUUCGGAAUUACUGGGCUUAAAGCGCGUGUAGGCGGGCCGGCACGUCCGUGGCUGAAAGCCCCGGCUCAACCGGGAAGUGGCGCGGAUACGACCGGCCUCGAGGGGGAGGGGGACCUGGGAACUUCCGGUGGAGCGGUGAAUGCGUUGAGAUCGGAGGAACGCCGUGGCGAAAGCGGACGGUGCCUGGACCGUUCGACGCUGACGACGCGAAAGCCAGGGAGCGAAC
rnacentral:rRNA from 1 species